GUAUCCAGGAGCUCUAGUAUUGGGUGCAUGUUGUUGAGGUUUGCUCAAUUCUGGAUAAUCGUCCUUUGACUCGUUAUUGGUAACAAAUUCAGCUCCAGGAAAUUUUUCUUUCGGCUUCGGCGGCGGAUCUUUUUCAUGCGGUGGAAAUAUUUCGGAAUAACCAUGAACGUGACAACUACAACAAAUGCUGCUCUAGCCAAUUGUGGACGUGCAUAUUUAACCGUAGAUGGGCAUGUGAAUCCUUCUUCGACGUUAUCGAAUGAAUUGUCCGAUCUAAAGAAAGAAAUUUAUUAUUCGACGUUCACAUUUAUCGCAUUUACGAAACUGUAUAAUCGAUCGUAUAUGUAUGUCUAGUGUGUUUUCUUUCGAUCGAUGGAUUGCAUUUGAAAAUGGUGAAAGUUAAUUGAACGACGUGAAAUAUACACUGA